GGACUACGAGGGUAUCUAAUCCUGUUCGCUACCCACGCUUUCGCUCCUCAGCGUCAGUUACUGCCCAGAGACCCGCCUUCGCCACCGGUGUUCCUCCUGAUAUCUGCGCAUUUCACCGCUACACCAGGAAUUCCAGUCUCCCCUGCAGUACUCAAGUCUGCCCGUAUCGCCCGCAAGCUUGGGGUUGAGCCCCAAGUUUUCACGGACGACGCGACAAACCGCCUACGAGCUCUUUACGCCCAGUAAUUCCGGACAACGCUCGCACCCUACGUAUUACCGCGGCUGCUGGCACGUAGUUGGCCGGUGCUUCUUCUGCAGGUACCGUCACUCUCGCUUCGUCCCUGCUGAAAGAGGUUUACAACCCGAAGGCCGUCAUCCCUCACGCGGCGUCGCUGCAUCA
rnacentral:misc_RNA from 1 species